UCCGACUUGUUAGUCUUUCUGGUAGUUCUAGAUGGAUCUAUGGUUUACAGAUAUCUGUUUACUAAAUCUGUAGCUGAUACGAGAGCAUUUUUUUCUCCUGAUGGCCGCAGAUGUUGAAAACCUGUGUCCUCUUCACAGUGUUGUCCCCUUCACACGGUUGUGUCCGCUUUACACUGUUGUGUCUUCCUCACAGUGUUGUGCCCUCUUCAGUGUUGUGUCCUCUUCACAGUGUUGUGUCCUCUUCACCGUGUUGUGUCCUCUUCACAGUGUUGUGUCCUCUUCAGUGUUGUGUCCUCUUCAGUGUUGUGUCCUCUUCACAGUGUUGUGUCCUCUUCACAGUGUUGUGUCUCUUCACAGUGUUGUGUCCUCUUCAGUGUUGUGUCCUCUUCAGUGUUGUGCCCUCUUCAGUGUUGUGUCCUCUUCAGUGUUGGGUCCGCUUCAGUGUUGGGUCCUCUUCAGUGUUGUGUCCACUUCACAGUGUUGGGUCCUCUUCAGUGUUGUGUCCUCUUCACAGUGUUGUGUCCUCUUCACAGUGUUGUGUCCGCUUCAGUGUUGUGUCCUCUUCAGUGUUGUGUCCUCUUCACAGUGUUGUGUUCUCUUCAGUGUUGUGUCCUCUUCACAGUGUUGUGUCCACUUCAGUGUUGUGUCCUCUUCAGUGUUGUGUCCACUUCAGUGUUGUGUCCUCUUCAGUGUUGUGUCCUCUUCAGUGUUGUGUCCUCUUCACAGUGUUGUGUCCUCUUCACAGUGUUGUGUCCUCUUCACAGUGUUGUGUCCUCUUCAGUGUUGUGUCCUUUUCAGUGUUGUGUCCUCUUCAGUGUUGUGUCCUCUUCAGUGUUGUGUCCUUUUCAGUGUUGUGCCCCUUCACAGUGUUGUGUCCUCUUCACAGUGUUGUGUCCUCUUCACUGUUGUGCCCUCUUCACAGUGUUGUGUCCUCUUCACAGUGUUGUGCCUUCUUCACAGUGUUGUGCCCUCUUCACAGUGUUGUGUCCUCUUCACAGUGGUGUGCCUUCUUCACAGUGUUGUGUCCUCUUCAGUGUUGUGUCCUCUUCACACUGUUGUGUCUCUUCACAGUGUUGUGCCCUCUUCAGUGUUGUGCCCUCUUCAGUGUUGUGUCCUCUUCAGUGUUGUGUCCUCUUCAGUGUUGUGUCCUCUUCACAGUGUUGUGUCCUUUUCAGUGUUGUGCCCUCUUCAGUGUUGUGUCCUUUUCAGUGUCGUGUGUUGUGUCCGCUUCACAGUGUUGUGUCCUCUUCAAUGUUGUGCCCUCUUCACAGUGUUGUGUCCUCUUCACAGUGUUGUGUCCUCUUCACAGUGGUGUGCCUUCUUCACAGUGUUGUGUCCUCUUCACAGUGUUGUGUCCUCUUCACACUGUUGUGUCUCUUCACAGUGUUGUGCCCUCUUCAGUGUUGUGCCCUCUUCAGUGUUGUGCCCUCUUCAGUGUUGUGUCCUCUUCAGUGUUGUGUCCUCUUCAGUGUUGUGUCCUCUUCAGUGUUGUGUCCUUUUCAGUGUUGUGUCCUUUUCAGUGUUGUGUCCACUUCACAGUGUUGUACCCUCUUCACAGUGUUGUGCCCUCUUCACAGUUGUGUCCUCUUCAGUGUUGUGUCCUCUUCAGUGUUGUGUCAUUUUCACCGUGUUGUGUCCUCUUCACCGUGUUGUGUCCCCUUCACAGUGUUGUGUCCUCUUCAGAGUGUUGUGUCCUCUUCACAGUGUUGUGUCCUCUUCAGAGUGUUGUGUCCUCUUCAGAGUGUUGUGUCCUCUUCACACUGUGGCGACCACCUGAAC
ensembl:lncRNA